UUGAGAUUUUUGGGCCUAAUUGAGAAUUGAGAUGCAAUCUCAGCCACCCAUUCACAAUCUUCGCGCGAUGUCAACAGCGCCUGGUUUAUGUCAACAGGGGGGUAUUUUUGUCAUUUUAGUUCUAAAAUGUUUCAGCUGUAUUCAAAACACGCCGUAAAACUCUCAAACAUUUCUCUGAGUUCUCUCCCAAAUUUCUCCUACAAUUCUGCAUCUUCUCUUCCCUUCGUCGCUAUUCAUCUCCUAAUCUUAGACUUCGUUCAGUUUUCUACAUCAAUUAAUUUCCAAAAAUGAGGAUCGAAGAAGUAGUUGAAGUUGAAGCACCGAUUGUAGCCGGAAAAAGGCAUUCCAAAUCGGCGGUCGUUGAAGCGAAUUCUUCAGCGAUGGUAGAUUCGGAAGAGGGGGAAAUCAACAAGGCUGCUGGAAAAAACAAAAGAGAACAUGCAUCUGCUUCCAGAUGACUGUAGAAAACAUAUAAAUGUUUCUAGGUCAUGUUGUUGCUCAUGGACCUUUUAGGGAGGAACGACUCCCCUGUUUUGGUGUUGGUCUUGGAUGGCUCUUGUUUAUUACUAGUUUCUUUCUGGGUGCAAUCCCCUGGUAUAUAGGAGCUUUUCUACUGCUAUGUGUCCGUAUGGAU